rnacentral:rRNA from 1 species
GGGUUGUGAGGUUAAGCGACUAAGCGUACACGGUGGAUGCCCUGGCAGUCAGAGGCGAUGAAGGACGUGCUAAUCUGCGAAAAGCGUCGGUAAGGUGAUAUGAACCGUUAUAGCCGGCGAUGUCCGAAUGGGGAAACCCAGUGCAAUUCGUUGCACUAUCGUUAACUGAAUACAUAGGUUAACGAGGCGAACCGGGGGAACUGAAACAUCUAAGUACCCCGAGGAAAAGAAAU